ensembl:lncRNA
AUUUACACUCCCCCACAGCGCAAGGAAUGGGACAUACAGCCAGACUGGAGCUACAGACAGGACUCCCAUUAUCAGGCAUCAAACAAGAACUCUUCCACUGCAUCAGCUGACGAUCAGCUGAUCCCUGGGAAUUCUCCCUCCAACCCCUCCUCUCUCGGAUUCUAUAACCACUGUGUCUUUAGUUUGGCAGCCAAGUGGGGAGUCUCUGUUGCUAAUAUCCAGAGGCAGCAGGAUCCCAGUGAGGGAAGUCAGCAGGCUGGCUUAUGCAAUGCAAAGUGGACGCUCAGGCUCAGUUGCGUGCCUCAGCGAGAGGCAACAGUUGUUUUGGCUUUCCACUCCUUCGAUGGUAGUGUUGUGCUCUGGGAACUCAAGGUGAAGAAAACAGGCUGCACGUUAACAGUUCUGCUGAAUUUCCUCUUUCUGCACACACAGGAAGAGGGGUACUAACAACAGAAGUUUUACAGCCAAUAGGUUGAUUCUGUUACAUUUGUGCAAGCUUUGAUAUCGAUCGUGCUGAUAAGAAGUGGAGUUAGUACUGAGCGCAUAUAUUCAGUGCAAAUACUGUAAAUACCAGAUGGCCAUGCACACAGUAUAUUUUUGAUGGAUGUUUUCAAGAUACGGUAUGUAUUUAGCCCUACAUUGAUGGGCAGUUUAUCAAAAGCUGCCGUUGACUGUUCAGUAUGUGGCUCUUGGAGUAUUGAUUUCUCUCCCCAUCUCCUAUUUGUUACGUAAGCAGCAUGGUUGAUGUUGAUUUUGUUUUCUGAAUCGUUGCAUUGAUGCUGUGUGUUUG